AAGGGUAGGAUAUGGUGUAAUAUGGUAGCACGGAGAGUUUUGAUCUCUCAAGAGCAGGUUCAAUUCCUGUAAUUCUAG
rnacentral:tRNA from 1 species